GAUGAACGCUAGCUACAGGCUUAACACAUGCAAGUCGAGGGGAAACGGCAUUAAGUGCUUGCACUUUUUGGACGUCGACCGGCGCACGGGUGAGUAACGCGUAUCCAACCUUCCCAUGACUAAGGGAUAACCUGCCGAAUGGCAGACUAAUACCUUAUGGUCUUCACUGUCGGCAUCAGAUGUGUAGUACAGAUGUAUCGGUUAUGGAUGGGGAUGCGUCUGAUUAGCUUGUUGGCGGGGUACCGGCCCACCAAGGCAACGAUCAGUAGGGGUUCUGAGAGGAAGGGCCCCCACAGUGGAACCGGGACACGGUCCAAAGUCCUACGGGAGGCAGCAGUGAGGAAUAUUGGUGAAGGGGCGAGAGCCUGAACCAGCCAAGUAGCGUGCAGGAUGACGGCCCUAUGUGUUGUAAACUGCGUUUGUAUGGGGAUAAAGGCAAGCACGUGUGAGUGUUUGCAGGUACCAGACGAAUAAGGACCGGCUAAUUCCGUG
rnacentral:rRNA from 1 species